GAUGAACGCUAGCUACAGGCUUAACACAUGCAAGUCGAGGGGCAGCAUGGUCUUAGCUUGCUAAGGCCGAUGGCGACCGGCGCACGGGUGAGUAACGCGUAUCCAACCUGCCUUACACUCUUGGACAGCCUUCUGAAAGGGAGAUUAAUACAAGAUGUUAUCAUGAGUAAGCAUUUUCGCAUGAUUAAAGGUUUACCGGUGUAAGAUGGGGAUGCGUUCCAUUAGGCAGUUGGCGGGGUAACGGCCCACCAAACCUACGAUGGAUAGGGGUUCUGAGAGGAAGGUCCCCCACAUUGGAACUGAGACACGGUCCAA
rnacentral:rRNA from 1 species